AGAGUUUGAUCCUGGCUCAGGAUGAACUCCGGCGGUGUGCCUAAUACAUGCAAGUCGUACGCACUGGCCCAACUGAUUGAUGGUGCUUGCACCUGAUUGACGAUGGAUCACCAGUGAGUGGCGGACGGGUGAGUAACACGUAGGUAACCUGCCUCGGAGCGGGGGAUAACAUUUGGAAACAGAUGCUAAUACCGCAUAACAACAAAAGCCACAUGGCUUUUGUUUGAAAGAUGGCUUUGGCUAUCACUCUGGGAUGGACCUGCGGUGCAUUAGCUAGUUGGUAAGGUAACGGCUUACCAAGGCAAUGAUGCAUAGCCGAGUUGAGAGACUGAUCGGCCACAAUGGAACUGAGACACGGUCCAUACUCCUACGGGAGGCAGCAGUAGGGAAUCUUCCACAAUGGGCGCAAGCCUGAUGGAGCAACACCGCGUGAGUGAAGAAGGGUUUCGGCUCGUAAAGCUCUGUUGUUGGAGAAGAACGUGCGUGAGAGUAACUGUUCACGCAGUGACGGUAUCCAACCAGAAAGUCACGGCUAACUACGUGCCAGCAGCCGCGGUAAUACGUAGGUGGCAAGCGUUAUCCGGAUUUAUUGGGCGUAAAGCGAGCGCAGGCGGUUGCUUAGGUCUGAUGUGAAAGCCUUCGGCUUAACCGAAGAAGUGCAUCGGAAACCGGGCGACUUGAGUGCAGAAGAGGACAGUGGAACUCCAUGUGUAGCGGUGGAAUGCGUAGAUAUAUGGAAGAACACCAGUGGCGAAGGCGGCUGUCUGGUCUGCAACUGACGCUGAGGCUCGAAAGCAUGGGUAGCGAACAGGAUUAGAUACCCUGGUAGUCCAUGCCGUAAACGAUGAGUGCUAGGUGUUGGAGGGUUUCCGCCCUUCAGUGCCGGAGCUAACGCAUUAAGCACUCCGCCUGGGGAGUACGACCGCAAGGUUGAAACUCAAAGGAAUUGACGGGGGCCCGCACAAGCGGUGGAGCAUGUGGUUUAAUUCGAAGCUACGCGAAGAACCUUACCAGGUCUUGACAUCUUGCGCUAACCUUAGAGAUAAGGCGUUCCCUUCGGGGACGCAAUGACAGGUGGUGCAUGGUCGUCGUCAGCUCGUGUCGUGAGAUGUUGGGUUAAGUCCCGCAACGAGCGCAACCCUUGUUACUAGUUGCCAGCAUUAAGUUGGGCACUCUAGUGAGACUGCCGGUGACAAACCGGAGGAAGGUGGGGACGACGUCAGAUCAUCAUGCCCCUUAUGACCUGGGCUACACACGUGCUACAAUGGACGGUACAACGAGUCGCAAGCUCGCGAGAGUAAGCUAAUCUCUUAAAGCCGUUCUCAGUUCGGACUGUAGGCUGCAACUCGCCUACACGAAGUCGGAAUCGCUAGUAAUCGCGGAUCAGCAUGCCGCGGUGAAUACGUUCCCGGGCCUUGCACACACCGCCCGUCA
rnacentral:rRNA from 1 species